GGGGGGCCAUCAUGCAGUCGAGCGGACAGAAGGGAGCUUGCUCCCGGAUGUUAGCGGCGGACGGGUGAGUAACACGUGGGUAACCUGCCUGUAAGACUGGGAUAACUCCGGGAAACCGGAGCUAAUACCGGAUAGUUCCUUGAACCGCAUGGUUCAAGGAUGAAAGACGGUUUCGGCUGUCACUUACAGAUGGACCCGCGGCGCAUUAGCUAGUUGGUGAGGUAACGGCUCACCAAGGCGACGAUGCGUAGCCGACCUGAGAGGGUGAUCGGCCACACUGGGACUGAGACACGGCCCAGACUCCUACGGGAGGCAGCAGUAGGGAAUCUUCCGCAAUGGACGAAAGUCUGACGGAGCAACGCCGCGUGAGUGAUGAAGGUUUUCGGAUCGUAAAGCUCUGUUGUUAGGGAAGAACAAGUGCAAGAGUAACUGCUUGCACCUUGACGGUACCUAACCAGAAAGCCACGGCUAACUACGUGCCAGCAGCCGCGGUAAUACGUAGGUGGCAAGCGUUGUCCGGAAUUAUUGGGCGUAAAGGGCUCGCAGGCGGUUUCUUAAGUCUGAUGUGAAAGCCCCCGGCUCAACCGGGGAGGGUCAUUGGAAACUGGGAAACUUGAGUGCAGAAGAGGAGAGUGGAAUUCCACGUGUAGCGGUGAAAUGCGUAGAGAUGUGGAGGAACACCAGUGGCGAAGGCGACUCUCUGGUCUGUAACUGACGCUGAGGAGCGAAAGCGUGGGGAGCGAACAGGAUUAGAUACCCUGGUAGUCCACGCCGUAAACGAUGAGUGCUAAGUGUUAGGGGGUUUCCGCCCCUUAGUGCUGCAGCUAACGCAUUAAGCACUCCGCCUGGGGAGUACGGUCGCAAGACUGAAACUCAAAGGAAUUGACGGGGGCCCGCACAAGCGGUGGAGCAUGUGGUUUAAUUCGAAGCAACGCGAAGAACCUUACCAGGUCUUGACAUCCUCUGACACCCUAGAGAUAGGGCUUUUCCCUUCUGGGACAGAGUGACAGUGGUGCAUGGAUUGUUCGUCAGCUCGUGUCGUGAGAUGAUGGGUAGUCCGCACGAGCGCACCCUGAUCUUAGUUGCAGCAUUCAGUGGCACUCUAGUGACUGACGUGACGACGGAGGAAGUGGGAGACGGUCGAUCAUCAUGUCCCUUAUGAACUGACUACACUGCUACAUGGACGAAGCCAAGC
rnacentral:rRNA from 2 species